CCCUAUGGGGUGCAGCAGGCGAGAAAACUUUGCAAUGUGCGAAAGCACGACAAGGUUAAUCCGAGUGGUUUCUGCUAAAGGAACCUUUUGUCAGUCCUAGAAACACUGAUGAAUAAGGGGUGGGCAAGUUCUGGUGUCAGCCGCCGCGGUAAAACCAGCACCUCAAGUGGUCAGGAUGAUUAUUGGGCCUAAAGCAUCCGUAGCCUGCUUUGUAAGUUUUCGGUUAAAUCCAUACGCUCAACGUAUGGGCUGCCGGGAAUACUGCAAAGCUAGGGAGUGGGAGAGGUAGACGGUACUCGGUAGGAAGGGGUAAAAUCCUUUGAUCUAUUGAUGACCACCUGUGGCGAAGGCGGUCUACCAGAACACGUCCGACGGUGAGGGAUGAAAGCUGGGGGAGCAAACCGGAUUAGAUACCCGGGUAGUCCCAGCUGUAAACUAUGCAAACUCAGUGACGCAUUGGCUUGAUGCCAAUGCAGUGCUGCAGGGAAGCCGUUAAGUUUGCCGCCUGGGAAGUACGUACGCAAGUAUGAAACUUAAAGGAAUUGGCGGGGGAGCACCACAAGGGGUGAAGCCUGCGGUUCAAUUGGAGUCAACGCCAGAAAUCUUACCCGGAGAGACAGCAGAAUGAAGGUCAAGCUGAAGACUUUACCAGACAAGCUGAGAGGUAGUGCAUGGCC
rnacentral:rRNA from 1 species